CUGGCUGCUGAGGCUCAGUGUCCUCGGCUAGGGUCCCACCUGUUCAGGAUUUUGCAGUACUUCCACUGCUCCGCCAUGCUCCUGCUGCUCAUCCCUGUGCUUGAGGUGAUUUUUACCCUGAGAGGAACAGGAGCCCAGUCAGUGACCCAGCCUGACCGCCACCUCACUGUCUCUGAAGAAGACUAUCUGGAGCUGAGGUGCAAUUACUCAUCUUCUUUUUCACCGUAUCUCUUCUGGUACGUGCAAUACCCCAACCGAGGACUCCAGCUUGUAGUUAAGUAUGUAUCAGGGAACACCCUGGUUAAAGGCAUCAAAGGUUUCGAGGCUGAAUUUUUUCAGAGUGAAACCUCCUUCCACCUGAAGAAACCCUCAGCCCAUUGGAGCGACGCAGCUGAGUACUACUGUGCUCUGAGUGACACAGUGCCUGGGACUGCAGGGGGAGCUCAACACAAACCUCCUGAGACACUGGGAGUCUCAGAGACUCAAGAACUCAACCUGGGGAGUUUUCAGGAAGAUCUGUUUUUCCUGUGCCUCUUGCGAAGAUGA